UACAGAGGCUAGCGGAGGAAACUUGGAACAUGGACCACAGUGUAUAGAGGUCAGAAAAAUCAUAUGAUAUAGUAUAUAGUUUUGUGAGUAACAAAGAUUGCAAUGAGAAUCUUUUAUUAUUUAAAUUAGUUGGUAAUUAUGGAAGAAAUUAGAUGCAGGGCAGGAUUUUGAGCAUUAUAAGAAAGGAAAAAAAAUUAAAUUCAUAUAAUACUAUAACAGCAGUAAUCUCUAUUAUAAUAUUGACUGAAUGUGACUGCAAUAAUCUUCUAUUAUUCAAUGCUUCCAUUAUAUCGACUCCACUGAAACUACUAUUCAGUUAUGAGUGAUUGUGUAGAGCGAGAGUGGUUUUGGGAUUAGGAAGUGCAAUGGGCAAAGAUAGUGUUUAUUAGGGGGUUUAUAUACGGAAAGAGAGAUAGAGAUUGGUAUGUGUAUAUGUGAUUUGAAGGUGCAUGCAGGUUGGAAUAAUAUUAUAAUAGUAAUUAAGAAAUGUGUGUGUGUGACUUGGAAGAAGGGGAAAAAGGGAUUAAGGGUACUUCCAGGAAAGUGGCUUUGGUUUUUGUACAGUUGGUGGGUGUGGACUGUGAAGGCUUCCAGGAAAGGGCACGCUCUUUGACCAUUUUGUCCUCUUCGAAAUUUCCUCAUCUUCAUUCUUUUCUUUUAAUUUAUUUUGUUUUUGUAUGUUGCUUGCAAUGCAUUACAUAUUAUAUAGAAAAAAUCCAUUCAUAUUUAAUAUUGUCAUUACAAUUAUUAAUCCGUCAUUUUCUAUUUGUUGCCUUCUUUUGCACCUUGUAUCAUUGAUGAUCACAGUUAGCAUAGCAUCACAAAAAAUAAACAAGUCUUUUUUACUUGCAUUUUAAUUUCAUCUUGCAUCAACUUGUGUUGAACAUUGCAAGUGAUCCAGUUUUCAUUCCAGUUCCUGAUAACUCUGCCAAUAAGAGGAGAAAGGAAAUAGUGCCACUGCAGACCAUCAGAACUAUGUCUAUACAUAGAUAUAUGAGGUCUGUUUGGGCAUAAUGUCCAGCUUUUGCUUUAACACCCUUAACGAUCACUGAGGUUGUCCAUGAGUCCAAGCUCCCAAUCAAGUUGUGUCACAUCCUCACAACAAGCAUCACAUGCUGUCAUGAGCACUACAAAGAAGAGGGUGCAUGACGAAAUGGUGGAGCAGAACCAGAAGCAAAUUACUCAUAGAAAAUCCAUUGAUACCUUUGGCUAGAGAACAUCUCAAUAUAGAGGUGUUACAAGGGUAUUGUGAGGCUCAAACCCUGCUUGGACUUUCUUUCUGAGGUUGGCCCUUACAAGAUUAUGGAUGGAAUAUUGUGGCCAAUUGUAGAGGUAGUAACGUCGGCAUUGGAGGAGAUGAACUUGUCAGAGGACACUAUAAUAAAGAGACAAAGAACUGUGUAAGGGCUUGCUAUUUAUACUGCUUGAAGUCAUGUAUCAAGUACCUUGAGAAGGAAUACAGAGCUCUUUGUAAAGUAUAGCAUCUUUUGUUUUUUUCUAAAAUUAGCUUUAUUGUUUACUUUUAUUCAGAGUUUAUAUGUUUACUUAUUCUGUUGAAUUAAAACUAUAUUUAUACUUCU